CUAAUGAGAGACAGUGUGGUAGACCAUACAGGGUUUACUCAGGUGUGGUGCUAAUGAGAGACAGUGUGGUAGACCAUACAGUUGUUACUCAGGGUGUGGUGCUAAUGAGAGACAGUGUGGUAGACCAUACAGGUUGUUACUCAGGGUGUGUGCUAGAUGAGACAGUGGUAGACCAUACGGUGUUACUCAGUGUGGUCUAAUGAGAGACAGUGUAGUAGACAUACAGGUUGUUACUCAGGUGUGGUGCUAAUGAGAGACAUGUGGAAGACCAUACAGGUUGUUACUCAGGGUGUGGUGCUAAUGAGAGACAGUGGGGAAGACCAUACAGGUUGUUACUCAGGGUGUGGUGCUAAUGAGAGACAGUGUGGUAGACCAUACAGGUUGUUACUCAGGGUGUGGUGCUAAUGAGAGACAGUGUGGUAGACCAUACCGGUUCAGCUAUUAUUAGAGACUCACCAGUGCU
rnacentral:lncRNA from 1 species